AGCGUUCGUAGCCGGUUUAGUAAAUUCCUGGUGAAAUCCUGUGUAAAACAUAGGGCGUGCCAAGAACACUACUAGGCUAGGGACCGGGAAAAGCUGAGGGUACUCAAGGGGUAGGGGUUAAAUACCUGUAAUCCUUUGAGGACCACCUGUGGCGAAGGCGCUCACUGGAACGGCUCCGACGGUGAGGGACGAAAGCCCGGGGAGCGAACCGGAUUAGAUACCCGGGUAGUCCUGGCCGUAAACGAUGCAUACUAGGUGAUGGCACGGCCAUGAGCCGUGUCAGUGCCGUAGGGAAACCGUUAAGUGUGCCGCCUGGGAAGUACGGUCGCAAGGCUAAAACUUAAAGGAAUUGGCGGGGGAGCACCACAAGGGGUGAAGCCUGCGGUUUAAUUGGACUCAACGCCGGGAAACUUACCAGGGGAGACAGCAGUAUGACGGUCAGGUUGACGACCUUACCCGACGAGCUGAGAGGAGGUGCAUGGCCGUCGCCAGUUCGUGCCGUGAGGUAUCCUGUUAAGUCAGGCAACGAACGAGAUCCGCGCCUUUAUUUGCCAGCAAGAAGUUACGACUUCGUUGGGAACUCUAAAGGGACCGCCACCGAUAAGGUGGAGGAAGGAGCGGGCAAAGGCAGGUCAGUAUGCCCCGAAACCCCUGGGCUACACGCGGGCUGCAAUGGUAUGAACAAUGGGCAGUAACUCCGAAAGGAGAAACCAAUCCCGAAAUCAUAUCUCAGUUGGAAUUGUCGGCUGUAACUCGCUGACAUGAACGUGGAAUCCCUAGUAAUCGUGUGUCAUCAUCGCACGGUGAAUACGUC
rnacentral:rRNA from 1 species